rnacentral:misc_RNA from 1 species
CCAUAGACUCUUAUUACUUUGACCAUAUUUUUAUCUUCCAUCUCUAUUUUGCCAAUUUGUUUAUACAACAUAGAAUAAUAUAUAUCUUUGUUUAAUCCAUGUCAAUAUAUAUUUUAUUUUUUAUAUUAUUUGAAUGUUUUAUUCAAAUAAUAUAAAAAAUAAAAUCAAUGUUUAAAGUAUAAAAUAAAAACCCUGGCAAUAACCUACUCUC